GGACCCGAGCGACGGAGGACUGACCAAAGAGAAGCGAAUUCUUUUUCUUGACAACGUUGCCAAUGGGAAAAUUCUUGGUUUCGAAGAAGAAGAACCCCGGAGGCGGAGGCGGUGGCUUUUCCUUGGAUCGGAGACGCAAACUAAGGAAACACACGUGUGCCCUGAGUUGGACCAAAUUGUGUCCAACUUUGCACAACGUCCACAGUGCAUGAAGACGUGGAAUCGGAAGGGACGAAGACGACACUGAGGCUUUUCCUAUCAUGGAAGCAUAGAUCAGUUUGGAAUGGAGAAGUGGUCCUGUAUGAGCCGUGACACACUACCGAUACGCACUCAGCAAACAGUGUACCUUCGAAAUCCUCCAGAAAGACAAUA